AUGAGGCGUGAGGAGGGUGAGACGGGUAGUAGCAUCCCCCGGCAUCCCCGCUCGCCGGUGGUGGGGCCCCUCGAAGAUGAUGACCUUCUCUUGGAGAUCCUCCUUCGCCUGCCCCCGCAGCCGUCGUCCCUCCCUCGUGCCUCCGCCGUAUGUAGGCAAUGGCGCCUCCUCGUCACGGACCCAGGCUUCUCCCGCCGCUUCUGUCGCUACCACCGCCGCAAUCUUCCCAUCAUUGGUUUCUACAACCGACAUCUUCCAGACAUCUCCUUCGUACCUACUCUGAAGGACCUAGACCGUAUCCCACCUGGGCGAUUGUCCUUGCAGCCUCAACGUGACGACCAAAACUUCUCCACCUUUGGAUGCCGCCAUGGUCUCGUACUGGUCCAUGUCCGAGACUUCGAACCGCUAAAGCACCAUAUUCUGGUGUGGGAUCCUGUCACUGGUGAGCAGCACGACCCUGGCAUUCCCCUGGGGAUCGAUACAGGGAACCGAUUCAAUGGAGCAGUGCUUCGGGCUACAGGAAAUUUUGACCACUUCCAGGUGGUCUUGAUAGGCAACAGCGACAAAAGACGAGCGGUCGCAAGUGUUUACUCGUCAGAGACCGGUGUAUGGAGCAAUCUCGUUUCAACAUCAACAUCGUUGCCACUAAUGGACACUACAGACCCUUUUUCCGGCUGGUGUUUUAACGGUAUAUCCUUUGAACCCGCUGUGUUGGUUAGGAAUUCCCUAUACUGGCUGCUGGGAGCGGGCUCGGUUGGAAUUCUCGAGUUUGAUUUGGAGAGGCAAAGCCUUGCUGUGAUAGGGUUGCCGGUGUGUGUGGGUGCUGGGAGUGAGACUGGGAGCAAUGAUCGGUUCUCGAUUACGCAAGCAGAAGAUGGUGGGCUGGGUUUCCUCUCCCUGUCAGGCUUCAACGCCCAAUUAUGGAAGAGGAAGACCAAAUAUGAUGGUAUUGCUUCAUGGGUGAUGGAAAAAAUUAUUGAACUGGACAAACUACUGAAAAUUCCCAUGGAUCCAAAUAGGAAUGAACACGUUAUUAAGGUAAUUGGGUUUGCCGAGAACAAUAAUGCGGUGUUCUUGUACACAAAAAUCGGCAUCGUCGCGUUCCAUCUCGAGUCGUUGCAGUUCAAGAAGCUUCCUGGAUCUAGAAGUGUUGCUUACUAUUAUCCAUUUGAAAGUGUAUGGUGUAUGUAA
rnacentral:rRNA from 1 species